UACGAAGGGGGCUAGCGUUGCUCGGAAUUACUGGGCGUAAAGGGCGCGUAGGCGGAUAUUUAAGUGGGGGGUGAAAUCCCGGGGCUCAACCUCGGAAUUGCCUUCAAAACUGGAUAUCUUGAGUUCGGGAGAGGUGAGUGGAACUCCGAGUGUAGAGGUGAAAUUCGUAGAUAUUCGGAAGAACACCAGUGGCGAAGGCGACUCACUGGCCCGAUACUGACGCUGAGGCGCGAAAGCGUGGGGAGCAAACAGG
rnacentral:rRNA from 1 species